CGUCAAGGGCAUGAUGCCGUACUGAGCCAUUAUGGCAAUUGCCACGCCUUUGGGUUUCCUGAGAAUUUAACAUAACUUGAACUCAGCCCAGUGGUUGCCCAAAGGCCGUGCUUCAGCAGGCAUGCCCAAUAGGAGUGGCGGUGGCUUGAUUUGUGUCAGAUUUCACACUGUGUUGGCCCCCAAUCCAAGACAUGACCUUGGCAUGUGGUGUCCAUAUUUUGCUCAGCACGUGCAUGCGUGCAAGGCACACCAUCUGCUUACCCUGAUGCGGUGCCCACACUUUCAGACUCUACCAGGACUCCUUUCUCCCGCUAAGGCUUCUCCCCAAGUAAGUGCCUCUUUUGGUUUGUCCUGUUCCUUCUUAUAUUUGCUCAUGCACUUUGAAAAUAAGCUCUCUAGAGCCCAGGGUAUCACUGGUGUUUAUUUUGGGCUUGUUCAGGGGGUUGCUAGCAAAGAGGGCACAAUUCUUGCAUGGUUCUUAGGACAACGCACUUUAUUUCAGACACAAGCAAACCCUAGCUCGCAUUUAGCAUGUGCAAGCCCCUGUGCAGCGCUGCAUUCACCUACGGAGGUAUAUAAAGGGUAAUGAUAAUGUUGCCCAGAAGGCUAACACAUCAAAGGCCAAGGAGCAGUUAAAAUGUAUUACGAGCUGUUGGCAGUGAUUGUGGGGGGUAUUUGUGUAUUGCUGCUUUGGACGGCCCGAGUAAAUGAAAACCCUCUGGAUUAAUUGGUACACCAAAGAGGUUUGGAGGAAAAUGGAGGCUGAUGGAAAAUGACAAACAAGGGAAAAUACAGAUAGCUGGGUGUGCUGACCUGCGGCGGGGCACUGCUGAUUAACUUGCGGCUCCCUACCGUGCCCUGGAAAGCCGAGGAGAGCUGGGGGUGCCCCGCCAGCAGCUCGCCCGGCGUGUCGGUGGGAGCGGGCUGAGCCCCACAGGCAGCAUCUGCAGCGCUGCUAUUCCAGCACAGCCGAGCGGGUAGUUAGAGGUGAGACUUAC